AGCGAACGUUAGCGGCGGGCCUAACACAUGCAAGUCGCACGAGAAAGAGGGCUUCGGCUCUUGAGUAAAGUGGCGGACGGGUGAGUAACACGUGGGUAAUCUACCUCUCGGCGGGGGAUAACAGCCCGAAAGGGUUGCUAAUACCGCAUUCGUCGGCAGGGGCUCCGGCCCUUGUCGGGAAAGACGGCCUCUUCACGAAAGCUGUCACCGGGAGAUGAGCCCGCGGCCCAUCAGCUAGUUGGUGAGGUAACGGCUCACCAAGGCAUAGACGGGUAGCUGGUCUGAGAGGAUGAUCAGCCACACUGGGACUGAGACACGGCCCAGACACCUACGGGAGGCUG
rnacentral:rRNA from 1 species